rnacentral:rRNA from 1 species
CCUACGGGAGGCAGCAGUGGGGAAUAUUGGGCAAUGGAGGAAACUCUGACCCAGCGACGCCGCGUGCGGGAUGAAGGCCUUCGGGUUGUAAACCGCUUUCAGUAGGGAAGAAGCGAAAGUGACGGUACCUACAAAAGAAGCACCGGCUAACCAUGUGCCAGCAGCCGCGGUAAUACAUAGGGUGCAAGCGUUGUCCGGAAUUAUUGGGCGUAAAGAGCUCGUAGGUCGUUUGUUACGUCGGAUGUGAAAACCUGAGGCUCAACCUCAGGCCUGCAUUCGAUACGGGCAAACUAGAGUUUGGUAGGGGAGACUGGAAUUCCUGGUGUAGCGGUGGAAUGCGCAGAUAUCAGGAGGAACACCAAUGGCGAAGGCAGGUCUCUGGGCCAAUACUGACACUGAGGAGCGAAAGUCUGGGGAGCGAACAGGAUUAGAUACCCUGGUAGUCCAGACCGUAAACGGUGGGCACUAGUUGUGGGAACCUUCCACGGUUUCUGCGACGCAGCUAACGCAUUAAGUGCCCCGCCUGGGGAGUACGAUCGCAAGNUUAAAACUCAAAGGAAUUGACGGCNGACGNGCGACGACGACGACGAGGAGUAGG